rnacentral:rRNA from 1 species
UCUGCUGUGAAAGACCGGGGCUCAACUCCGGUUCUGCAGUGGGUACGGGCAGACUAGAGUGCAGUAGGGGAGACUGGAAUUCCUGGUGUAGCGGUGAAAUGCGCAGAUAUCAGGAGGAACACCGAUGGCGAAGGCAGGUCUCUGGGCUGUAACUGACGCUGAGGAGCGAAAGCAUGGGGAGCGAACAGGAUUAGAUACCCUGGUAGUCCAUGCCGUAAACGUUGGGCACUAGGUGUGGGGGACAUUCCACGUUUUCCGCGCCGUAGCUAACGCAUUAAGUGCCCCGCCUGGGGAGUACGGCCGCAAGGCUAAAACUCAAAGGAAUUGACGGGGGCCCGCACAAGCGGCGGAGCAUGCGGAUUAAUUCGAUGCAACGCGAAGAACCUUACCAAGGCUUGACAUGAACCGGAAAGACCUGGAAACAGGUGCCCCGCUUGCGGUCGGUUUACAGGUGGUGCAUGGUUGUCGUCAGCUCGUGUCGUGAGAUGUUGGGUUAAGUCCCGCAACGAGCGCAACCCUCGUUCUAUGUUGCCAGCGCGUUAUGGCGGGGACUCAUAGGAGACUGCCGGGGUCAACUCGGAGGAAGGUGGGGACGACGUCAAAUCAUCAUGCCCCUUAUGUCUUGGGCUUCACGCAUGCUACAAUGGCCGGUACAAAGGGUUGCGAUACUGUGAGGUGGAGCUAAUCCCAAAAAGCCGGUCUCAGUUCGGAUUGGGGUCUGCAACUCGACCCCAUGAAGU